GCAGUCGCCGCGGGAAUACGUAGGGUGCGAGCGUUAAUCGGAAUUACUGGGCGUAAAGCGUGCGCAGGCGGUUCGUUAAGACAGAUGUGAAAUCCCCGGGCUUAACCUGGGAACUGCAUUUGUGACUGGCGAGCUAGAGUAUGGCAGAGGGGGGUAGAAUUCCACGUGUAGCAGUGAAAUGCGUAGAGAUGUGGAGGAAUACCGAUGGCGAAGGCAGCCCCCUGGGCCAAUACUGACGCUCAUGCACGAAAGCGUGGGGAGCAAACAGGAUUAGAUACCCCCGUAGUCCCUGUCUCUUAUAC
rnacentral:rRNA from 1 species